GUUCGUUCAAGAAUGGAAAAGUGGCAGCAUCUCUGGUCCCUUCAUGGACUCCUGUGGAUAAAAGAGCAAGACGGAAACUUUCCUUUGUGACAAAUGAUGCUGAGAGCCAGACUAAGCUGGUUUGGGGUGAUAAAGCCAGAGAAAUUCACGACCACUGAACAAUGUGCUUCUUGAGCUGAUCAAAGGAUAGAGAGUCAGGAACUGAAGAACCAAGAAAAUUUAUGGGAUUUCCC